rnacentral:misc_RNA from 1 species
UUCGACGCGUCGAAUU